AGAGUUUCCUCCCUGUGCCAUUGAGGUCUAUAAAGUAGUGGAGAAAGCUGAUUAUCCCAGGAAUGAAAAUGGAGAAAUUGCUGCUAUUAUUCAUCCGAAUCUCCAGAGGAUCAAGACUGGAAACCACUGCACCCUGGAGAUCCCGUGUUUUUAACGCUUGAUGGGACGACUAUUCCAUUGGAUGGAGACUGUACUGUGUAUCCAGUGUUUGUAAAUGAGGCCGCAUAUUAUGAAAAGAAAGAAGCUUUUGCAAAGACAACUAAACUAACACUCAAGGCAAAAAGUAUUUGCUCCUCUUUACAUUAGAAAUCACUCCAGCUUACUUGAUAUACAGUAUCUUGAAAACCUCUACUAGUUUUGUAAGCUCCUCAAGAGCAGGAUGUGCCUUAUUCAACGUCACCAUUACACCUAGCACAACAGUGCCUUACUCAGCACACAUCCAAGCAGAUUUUUUAAAUUAAUGAAUGUCUUUUAACUGUCUCAUGUUUUAUGUUUGUAGUUUAUUCAAAGAAGUGUUUUCUAUUUCUGAAUAGUUUAUUAUACAUUAUACUUUGAUGGUUUAACAUUCUUAAUAAACAGCAAUUAUAGUCUAAACAUAAAAUUGAAAUUGAUACUAUAUAUAGAAAGUUAUUAACUUGAAUACAGAAUUAAAUAUACAUCUUCAACAA